GCAAGUCGAACGGAAACAGGACGCUGUGAUCUCUUCGGAGUGAACUUGUCGCUGUCGAGUGGCGGACGGGUGAGUAAUGCUUAGGAAUCUGCCCAUUUGUGGGGGACAACAGUUGGAAACGGCUGCUAAUACCGCAUAAGCCCUACGGGGGAAAGCAGGGGAUCUUCGGACCUUGCGCUAAUGGAUGAGCCUAAGUCGGAUUAGCUUGUUGGUGGGGUAAUGGCUCACCAAGGCUACGAUCUAUAGCUGGUUUGAGAGGAUGAUC
rnacentral:rRNA from 1 species